rnacentral:rRNA from 1 species
AUUAAUGAGAGUUUGAUCCUGGCUCAGGACGAACGCUGGCGGCGUGCCUAAUACAUGCAAGUAGAACGCUGAAGAGAGGAGCUUGCUCUUCUUGGAUGAGUUGCGAACGGGUGAGUAACGCGUAGGUAACCUGCCUUGUAGCGGGGGAUAACUAUUGGAAACGAUAGCUAAUACCGCAUAACAAUGGAUGACACAUGUCAUUUAUUUGAAAGGGGCAAUUGUUCCACUACAAGAUGGACCUGCGUUGUAUUAGCUAGUAGGUGAGGUAAUGGCUCACCUAGGCGACGAUACAUAGCCGACCUGAGAGGGUGAUCGGCCACACUGGGACUGAGACACGGCCCAGACUCCUACGGGAGGCAGCAGUAGGGAAUCUUCGGCAAUGGGGGCAACCCUGACCGAGCAACGCCGCGUGAGUGAAGAAGGUUUUCGGAUCGUAAAGCUCUGUUGUAAGUCAAGAACGGGUGUGAGAGUGGAAAGUUCACACUGUGACGGUAGCUUACCAGAAAGGGACGGCUAACUACGUGCCAGCAGCCGCGGUAAUACGUAGGUCCCGAGCGUUGUCCGGAUUUAUUGGGCGUAAAGCGAGCGCAGGCGGUUUGAUAAGUCUGAAGUUAAAGGCUGUGGCUCAACCAUAGUUCGCUUUGGAAACUGUCAAACUUGAGUGCAGAAGGGGAGAGUGGAAUUCCAUGUGUAGCGGUGAAAUGCGUAGAUAUAUGGAGGAACACCGGUGGCGAAAGCGGCUCUCUGGUCUGUAACUGACGCUGAGGCUCGAAAGCGUGGGGAGCGAACAGGAUUAGAUACCCUGGUAGUCCACGCCGUAAACGAUGAGUGCUAGGUGUUGGAUCCUUUCCGGGAUUCAGUGCCGCAGCUAACGCAUUAAGCACUCCGCCUGGGGAGUACGACCGCAAGGUUGAAACUCAAAGGAAUUGACGGGGGCCCGCACAAGCGGUGGAGCAUGUGGUUUAAUUCGAAGCAACGCGAAGAACCUUACCAGGUCUUGACAUCCCGAUGCUAUUUCUAGAGAUAGAAAGUUACUUCGGUACAUCGGUGACAGGUGGUGCAUGGUUGUCGUCAGCUCGUGUCGUGAGAUGUUGGGUUAAGUCCCGCAACGAGCGCAACCCCUAUUGUUAGUUGCCAUCAUUCAGUUGGGCACUCUAGCGAGACUGCCGGUAAUAAACCGGAGGAAGGUGGGGAUGACGUCAAAUCAUCAUGCCCCUUAUGACCUGGGCUACACACGUGCUACAAUGGUUGGUACAACGAGUUGCGAGUCGGUGACGGCGAGCUAAUCUCUUAAAGCCAAUCUCAGUUCGGAUUGUAGGCUGCAACUCGCCUACAUGAAGUCGGAAUCGCUAGUAAUCGCGGAUCAGCACGCCGCGGUGAAUACGUUCCCGGGCCUUGUACACACCGCCCGUCACACCACGAGAGUUUGUAACACCCGAAGUCGGUGAGGUAACCUUUGGAGCCAGCCGCCUAAGGUGGGACAGAUGAUUGGGGUGAAGUCGUAACAAGGUAGCCGUAUCGGAAGGUGCGGCUGGAUCACCUCCUUU